AUGGCUUCUCGCUAUCACUUACAGAUGGGCCCGCGGCGCAUUAGCUAGUUGGUGAGGUAACGGCUCACCAAGGCGACGAUGCGUAGCCGACCUGAGAGGGUGAUCGGCCACACUGGGACUGAGACACGGCCCAGACUCCUACGGGAGGCAGCAGUAGGGAAUCUUCCGCAAUGGACGAAAGUCUGACGGAGCAACGCCGCGUGAACGAUGAAGGUCUUCGGAUCGUAAAGUUCUGUUGUUAGGGAAGAACAAGUACCGUGCGAAUAGAGCGGUACCUUGACGGUACCUAACGAGGAAGCCCCGGCUAACUACGUGCCAGCAGCCGCGGUAAUACGUAGGGGGCAAGCGUUGUCCGGAAUUAUUGGGCGUAAAGCGCGCGCAGGCGGUUCCUUAAGUCUGAUGUGAAAGCCCACGGCUCAACCGUGGAGGGUCAUUGGAAACUGGGGAACU
rnacentral:rRNA from 1 species